rnacentral:rRNA from 1 species
UUCCGAUGGAUAUUUCCAGUAACACUAGAACUAAUACAUGUCCCUGCGUUUAUUAGUUUCGCACAGUCCGUCGCUGAGUCAUGGUAAACAGUUGAUCGACUCGACGUCCCGGAACAGUUUCCGCCCCAUCAGCUUCGAUGGUUGGGUAUUGGCCUACCAUUGCAACAACGGGUAACGAGGAAUUAGGGUUUGAUUUCGGAGAGGGAGCCUGAGAAACGGCUACCACAUCUACGGAUGGCAGCAGGCGCGCAAAUUACCCAAUGCAGACACUGUGAGGUAGUGACGAGAAAUAAUAAAGCGGGACUUCUGUUUCGCUAUUAUAAUGAGGAAUAACCAAAGGUCAUUCCGAUUAGCAACUGAUGGGAAAGUCUGGUGCCAGCAGCCGCGGUAAUACCAGCGUCAGUAGCAUAUAUUAAAAUUGUUGCAGUUAAAACGUCCGUAGUCUGUACGUCGUCCCAAACUCACUGCAGUCUUCCGUUUUCUUAAUUGAAUGCGGUAGUUUCUGCAGUCACUCCCUUGAUCAAAUUAGGUUGUUCAAGGUAGACCAAGUCUUCAUAUUUUCACAUGGAAUUGGGUGAGGGAACUUAAGAGUUUAAGUUUCUCGUCUUAGGAUCAUCCGGGGUCAUUCGUACUCGUCCGCGAGAGGUGAAAUUCUUGGACCGGACGAAGACGACCAGCAGCGAAAGCAUCUGUCAGGGAUGUUUUCUGCGACAAAGGACGAAGGUCAGGGUAUCGAAGACGAUUAGAUACCGUCGUAGUCCUGACUGUAAACUAUGCCAACUUGGGUCUUGCUGGGCGAUGCUUUGUGAGACCCACACAGAAAUGAAAGUGUAUGGGUUCUGGGGGUAGUAUGGACACAAGUCUGAAACUUGAAGGAAUUGACGGAAGAGCACCAUAAGACGUGGAGCUUGCGGCUUAAUUUGACUCAACGCGGGAAAACUUACCAGGUCAAGACAUGGGCGUGAUUGACAGGCUAAUGACUUUUCUCGAUUCCAUGGAUGGUGGUGCAUGGUCGCACUUAGUUGGUGCAGUGAUUUGUCAGGUUUAUUCCGGUAACGAACGAGACCUCGGCCUUGUAAAUAGCUAUGCUGCUUACAGGGACAUUGGCGGCUACGCCAAGGAAGCUCGAGGCAAUUGCAGAUCUGGAAUGC